GCUUUCGGCGCCAUUUUCGAGUGAUGCCUGAUCUCAUCAAUCUAGCGGGAGGGACGGGACAACCUGUCCGAGAGUAUAGCGCCACUAGGACUCCGCCAAAAAAUCGCUAAAAAAUCACCAAAAAUUACUUGGAGCAAAGGGCAGUCCAUGGUGCUUCGCCAAGGUUGGCGCAGUCGUCUUUGAGACAUUUGCAAGGGGAAAAAGCGACCUGUGAAACUGUUUUGAUGUUUUCCUCCCGAAAAGUCUGUACCCGGACAACUUAACGGUUUUGACCUUUAGGAGAGAGCCAAUUCUGGAGAACAACCUAACUUCUUUGAAUACUCACAAAACACACGGGAACAUGAUAGGAGAGUAAGAUGUAUUUAUUUACUUGUGAGCCAGAGUUACAGAGAGGGGGAGAGACAGAAGUCAUCCAUCUGCUGGUUCACUCCUCAAAUGGCCACAGUGGACGGAACUGAGCCAACCCAAAGCCAGGAGCCAGGAGCUUCUUCCAGAUCUGUUUAUUUACUAGAGAAGUAGAGGCAGAGAGAAAGAGGUCUUCCAUCCACUGGUUCACUCUCCAGAUGGCCAUAACAGCUGUAGCUGUGCUGAUCCGAAGCCAGGAGCUUCUUCCGGGGUUCAAGGACUUGAGCCAUCUUCUGCUGCUUUCCCAGACCAUAACUGAACUGGAUUGGAAGUGGAGAGGCCGAGUUAGAGAGAAAAAGGUCUUCCUUCCGUUGGUUCAUCCCCCAGAUGGCUGCUACGGCUGACGCGCUGCACCCAUCCGAAGCCAGGAGCCAAAUACUUCCUCCUGGUCUCCCAUGUGGGUGCAGGGCCCAAGCACUUGGGCCAUCCUCCACUGCCUUCCCAGACCACAGCAGAGAGCUGGACUGGAAGAGGAGCAACUAGGACAGAAUCCAGCACCGCAACCAGGACUAGAAUCUGGGGUGCCGGUGCAGGCGGAGGAUUAGCCAAGUGAGCCGCGACGCUGGCUUGAAUAAUUUUUUAAACAGAUCUUUCUGCAGGUGGGAAGGCUGAACAUAACCAGGGUCCUUCAACUGGUUCUUACAACAUGAAUUCUAGACCAGUAUCCUGGAUAUUUCACUUUGGGUCUGCAACAUUUUGUAGUAUUUCUUUAAAAAUAUUUUGUAUAAAAUUGAGCCCAUCCUACUUGAUGUGACCAAAGAACAAAAGACAGUGCAUCUCUUAAGAAUAAGAUGUCUUUUGAGGGUGCACUUCCAGAUGUAAAUUCCACUUUUACCAAGUUAGUUGAAUUCAUGCAUGAGGAACCCAGAUACAGAGAACCAAUGGUGAUUACAAUUUAAUGAUUGUGUUGAAUGUCAUCAAGUGAUUCCUGAAAGAACUUGUGCAGCUUCAGAUGAAUUUAUUUUACUAAGCAUGUUUAUUCAAGGUAUGAAUUUUGGCACCAUUGCUGUUCCCCUUAGAAAAGAAUGUCACAUCUCCAUCUUACGCCUGUAAGAAAACUCCUACUUGUUUUUUAUUAUGAGGGUCAGUGACUGAAAUGUGUUAAUACCCUUAAACCUUAUCUUCUCUUUUAAUAAAACAAAGGUCUUUCCCAGUAUUAAACUGAGGGAAUGGAAUUGAGAAUUUAAAAUCCCAAAGUUAAAAUCCAAGUUAAAACCAUAAAAUUGACAUGGCUUUAAUUUCUCAAAUGGAAAGGCAAGUAAUUGAAUUGGGGGAAGUGUGCUGGUCUCCAUUUGCAAGAAACAGUACAGCACAAAGACCUGGCAUUCUGGCUGAAGAGCUGUAAUAAUAAACAGAAAUCUGAAAACCAGGAAGACAAGUUUUCCAAGAGUGCAACUGUGGCAUUUCAAAGGAGAUUUAACAAAAAAUUCCGGAAGAUGGCCAAAAAUAGAUUUAGGUAAUUGAGAUUCCUUGUUUGACUACUUAUUUUUGAUGGAGAAACACACUUAAGAGGAAGUGAAGGUUCUAAGGUCUGAAAUUUUUUUGCAUCCUAAAUUGGUUUUGCUUUUGAAGAAAACCAUUAGCCAAAAACAAACAAAUCGAAAUUCAACACUGCUUGAAUUAUGAUGCUGCUUAAAAUGUAGAAGUUUUUUUUAAAGUGACCAAAGCAACACUUUUUAAAAGUUGAAUGAAAGGAACGAAAGCAAAUAUUUUGGUUUUCUAGAAGUGAAACCUUGUUUUGUAGGGUUUCUGUUGACAAGUGAAAGUAUCUUUCUGUUUACUCACUUACACUUAACUACUUGUCAUAAAGCCUUCCCGUCAUUAGGUAAAAAAUAUAUUACUCUAUAUCUUUAUGGUUUUUAUCAUACUGCAUGUUAGUGAUAUGUACGGAAACCUAAAAUGUUAAUCUGAGUUUCCAAAUAGCCUUUGCAAACACUGGUAAUACAUCUUCUGCAUGUGUAAAGAUCUUUUGGACUAUUUCACUUUAACCCUUGAACUACUUGGUUAAUCCAAGUUCAGUGAAUGUACAAGCUCAAAUUUAGUUAUCCAGAGCUCGGAACAUUUCUUUCUGUUUUUCUGUCCUAGUUGCAUCUAACUUACAUGCUGGCCUGCUGACUUAUCUUUUCAUGACUCCUAAAUUAUGGAGGAGUGCUGUCAGAGCCGCACUGGAAAACCAGGUCGUGGUAAGAAGGUCUUUGUGGAGGCAGUGGAAGGAAGGUCACCUGCGGGGGGAAGGAGUUGCUAUUCCAGGAUACAGAGAAAACACACACUCCUAUCUGAGACAACUGGGGCUGGGCCAAGGCAGAAGUUAGGAGCAGCAAACUCAAUCCAGAUCUGCCAGUGUGGGUGGCAGGAACCCAACCACUUGAGCCACUGCCUUCCUGAGUUCACAUUAGCAGGAAUCUGGAGCUAAGUAUCAAACCCAGGCACUCCAAUGUAGGACAACAUGCCAAAUGCCACCACAGGACAUUGUUUUGGAAGGAAAUGUUUUUCGAGGAAAACAUCUGACUGGAAUCUUGACCAAAGUUGAAUUACUAUUCUAACAAAUUCUAAUAAAAGAACUGCAUACAUGAAACAUAUUUUAUAAUAGUUUAUAUUUGCACACAAAAUCUGCCACAUUGUUCAGCACCACCAAACUAAAAUUCCUGAAUUUUUCACUGAAAAUGAGAAACCCAUCUGUCACCUGUUCCCAGUAAAAAAUGGAUUGUUCUACAAAAUCAGCUUGCUUAGUCAGAUAAGAACUGAAGUUUGAAAGGUGGUCUUUCCAUGCUGCCAAUUCAUCAAACAAAGACCAUUCUAGGAAUACAGUAGGACUGAAGAGAACGAGGAGGCCAAGCAGAAGGACCACCACAAGUAGCUGAUAAAAGCGCCAGGGAAUCUUGCUAAUGAAUGUGCUAGUGUCUUGAGGCAAAGAAAGUUUAUCCACGUCUACUAAUUUGAUGUCCUCCCACUGACUGGUAUCAAAGUUCUUCAUUAAAGGGCUUGUGGGCAAAUUAGAGGGAGGUAAAGGAGUUUCCUUGAUUACUUUGAUUUUCUCCCUGAACUCCUGCAUCUGUUGCAGAAAUAUGAUGGGCUCUGACACGUCUUUAAAUGCCUCAGCGAUGUUAAAGGCCAUUCGUUGUUCCUGCAAGAUGGUGUUGAGUUUGUUGAUCUCUGGGUCAUAGGCUUGCAUCACUGCAAGUUUCAUGGUCUCAAAGUCAGAUAGGAUUUCAUUCUUCUUUUGAUCCAAUGUAUGUUGUAAUUUCUCAAAAAACUCCUUCACUUUAUCUGAAUCUUUAGUCAGUAACUGUAGGGAUUUCCUCUUGCUCGUUUCCAAGGUAUCCAAGCGAGAAAGAGCAUCUCCCCGACGCCAUGUCUCAAAGCUCUGGAAGAGGGAUUCAAAAGCAUUCCUUUCCUGAGCAUAGGCAUCUUCAAUAGAACAGAAGACAUGCUUGGUGUGGUCACCACGGGUAGCACAGAUCCCACAAAUCAGCUGCAUAUCAGUCAGGCAGAAAAUGUUUAGAGGCUGUCCCAAGUGUCCUUUGCACACUGGCAUCUUGGGAGAAAUCUUGAUCUUGUUAUACUUUUCCACAAUACCCUUCAGGGAAUAAUUAACCUGCAGGCUGUUAACUCCAGUAGCUGAUGUUUCCUUACGGCAGGUGGGGCACUUGAAUGGCGAUGGUCUCCACAACGAAUUCCGCACAUUCCCCUCUAAGAGACCUUCCAAGCAUUUUUUGCAGAAGUUGUGUGAGCAAGGCAAAACUCGUGGAUCAUCAAACAGACUGCAACAGAUUGGGCACGUCAGAUCUUCUUCAAGCAGCUCCAUCACAUCCUAGCACAGAAAAAGACAUUUUAUUUUACCCCAGUAAUCUCCUUUACUAUGACUUUUAUUAGAAAAAGCUAUCUUCACAUUAAAAUGACCCUUCACUGAAAUAACCAGCCAAACAAAAAUAAGUGAGAAAUCUGGGAAGGGAAUGCACACCAAAGCAGAUUUAAUCUGCCGGGACUAGAACACACUCCUCAUUAGUGGGGCACCCUGUACACAAGGCCUUUGUGUGGACUUCCCAACAACAGUCUUUGGCUGAGACAGGGUUAGGACCAGGACAACUGCAAGUUGAGCCAGUAGGACCCAAUUGAUUGUUUUAAAACAGAGCUGACUACUAGCUGUCAGAAACAAAGCUACUCAGUGUCUAUAAUAGAAUGAGCUCUUUACUCUGGGCCCACAAACAUAAAAUGGUAUGCUAUUUAAAAGAAAGAAGCACAGAAAUACUAUAAAUCCAAGCAUGUACCCUCCUGCAGACUUAUAUUAGAAGUUGGCAUAUUUUUCUAUUUCCAAGCUAAGAUUACAAUCACUAAAUUACAGGUAAAAGCACAAGAUAGUUGUGAUUCACUCUUCCCUAGGGAAUUCAGUUUUUGUCAUUUUUAAACUACAAAGGCAGUAAUCAAAGCCGUCUUAUUUGCACCAUCACUUAUCAAAGUGUGGGCAGAAACGUGGGUGUCCCUCUUUUAGGGCAUCUGUGAGCUUAUUUUCAUAAUAGUACAGGUGACAUUUGCUUUCUGAACCCCUGUUAACAUUUGCACUGACAGUAAAAGCAAUGGCAGGAUGGAGCUUUAACAAGAAAUCAAGGCAAUAAGCAUCAACAAAUUGUAUCACCAGUCAUUUUAUUUAUCAGCAUUAAUUCCUGGUAGGGUUGGGGAGCCAGAUUCAUUUAAGAAUGUUCCUGAUGAACAGAAAAAGUAUUAAUUUUAUUAUACCUCAAUCCUUGUAUGCAUGUCUUUUUAAUAUUUGGUCUGACAAAAUGAGAAGUACAUACACAGCACUUCUGCAUACCAGAGUUGUUAUGUGGAGGAAAAGCACUUAUAUAACUGAGUUGCAAGCUGAACCUGCUGCUUUUUGCAUAGCCAACCAUGGCUGUUCAGAUUUAGAUAUAGGAUAGGCAUUUUCUUGAACAAAAUGAGCUUGUUACUUCAAGGAAAACAAGUAACAGUAUUUCUUACCAGUGAAAAGGUUUUUAUGUGAAAAUUAGUCUUUUGGAAAACAUACUUGCCACUUCUGAGCUUCACAGCUUCCCAUUAAAGACUUUUCUGAUGAAAUCAAUGGUUAUAUUACUUCAUGUCUGGAGGUGGGGUGGAGUAUUGUUUUCUGAAACGUCAGUAUUUGAAGAUCUAAAUGACACAGUGAGCUAAUAUUUUCUCAAGUCUGCAUGCAUAAUGUUGUGCAUAGAUAAAAGAUCCAUUUAAAGUAGCAGACAGUCCAAUAAGUUCUUUAAAUAUGACUUAAGGAUCCAUACUGCAACAAGAAACUAACACUGGUCAAGUUCGGGUAUGGUAUCAAAAAAAAGCCACAAUUACCAUGAAAAGGGCAUUAAAAUAUUCUUCCUUUUACCAACCACAUAUCUAUAUAUGCCAGACUUUUUCUUUAUAUUUCAACCAAAAUAAUGUAUUGCAGAAGGUUCAAAACAGAAGCACAUAAAACACUCCAGUUGUCUUCCAUUUAGUAAGCAUUCAUUAAAGACAUAAACAUAUAAAGGAAUGCCACUCUUCUCACAAUUUUGUUCUGGAAAAUAGUUAUUUUUCCUAAAUUACUUGUUCACAUGUAAUGAGUUUAUCAGUUAUUAUAAAUGAAUUACUAUAUUUUCAUGUUCUGUUUUAACUACUAAUACAGUGAAAAGACUCAUAAACAAAAGUUCUUGGGAUCUUCAGUUUUUUGGGAGUGUAAUAAUCACCCAAGACCAAAUAUUUGAGAUCCCUGAUCUAGAGAAUUCCACUUUUCUAAGUGAUAUAAGCCAGACCUAGAAAGACAAAUAUUCCAUUUGUUCUCUUAUCUGUGGAGUAUGGAGAGUAUAGAAAUUGUGUGGGUGUCACAUUAUUUGCUAUAUAGUUAUAAAUAGUGCUUCACUGCAUUAUACCAUGCACCUGACAAUAUACCCUUCUUUCCCCUACUUUAUAUAAGGUCACUGUCGUGAAUUCCACCAUUUUGUGAUAUUGGUUUUCAAGAAAAACAGUAUAUAUGUAUACAGUAUCUACAUAUGAAGUGAAUAUAGCAAAAUGUUAAAAAUUGUUUAAACAUUUUUAAGUGAUAAUUUAAAUUUUUUAAAGAAAAAUACUAUUUCCCAAUGCAAAUUUGAUUUUAAAAUGUGCAAUCAUCCUUCAAAGUUUUAAAUCCAUUGAUAAGGCUAAAUAUUUCUUCAGUCAGUUUAUUCAGGGAUACAUACAUACACACACAAACAAAUCAUAUCACCACCAAAGUAAUGUAAUAGGACUUAAUCUAUAAUCCACCUUAUAAUAAACUAGCAAAUAAUUUUUUAGCAGUAAUUUCAGCAGUCAUAAUUGGAACUAGAUCUAGAAGGCAAACUAUUUAAAAGUUGGGGCAGGCAAGGCCCACAUCAGAGUAGUUGGGGUGGAUACCUGGCUGUGACCCCUGACCCAAGCUUCUUGCUAAUGCAGGCCGAGGGAGACAGUUGUGAUGACUAGAGUAACCGAGUUCCUGCCAGCCACACGGGAGACCUGGGUUAAGUUCCUGGCUUCCAGUUUCAGCCUCUCAGCCAUCGCAGGUAUCUGGGGAGUGACAGUGGAACAUCCUUUCUCUUUUGUCUGUCGGUCUGUUCCUCUCAACAAAGACUAAGCUGAGCUUGCAGAACUACUUUAUAGUUUUACAUUAGAUAAUGAUUAUACAUUAAUAAUUGUGAAAAAACACCCAUGAUUUCAAAAUUUUUUUUGUAUCAACAUAAGCAUGAACUUUUUGAAGUACCCUCAUAUGCAUGUAAAAUGAAAGAAAAGAUUGUUCUGUUUCAAAAUGUUGUGUCAAAUGUCAUAAAUGUGUAAAAAUGUUAUGUAGGAAAUUACAACUUUUGAAAAGCACUGAGAAUGGCUUUAAAGAGGGACUUUAGUGUGUACUCUAAGUUAUUGUGCAGCUGCAAAACAUUCUUUUUAAAUAAUUAACUUGAAAGUAAAAUAUUUAUUUAUUUUACUUGAAAGUCAGUUACAGAGAGUCAGAGGCAGAGAGAGGUCUUCCAUCCACUGGUUCACUCCCCAAAUGGCCGCAAUGGCGGGAGGUGGGCCGACCUGAAGCCAGAAGCCAGGAGUUUUUUCCCGGUCUCCCACCGGGAAAAAGACUUGGGGCCAUCUUGCACUGCUUUCCCAGACCACAGCAGAGAGCUGGAUCGGAAGUGGAGCUGCUAGGACCUAAAUCAGCACCCACAUGGAGAUGCCAGCACAGCAGGCAACCCCCCCCCCCCUUUUUUAAGAUUAAUAUUCUCUUUUAGAACAAUGAAGGUAAACUUUUGAUGAGCUUCCAACCCCAAGUCUGGUUCCAGUUUAUCAACUCCACUACUCUGUCAUCUUUGACCUAAGAAUUCUCCACAAAGGCCAGAUUUUUGUGUAAGCAGUAAAACAGGAAAGUGGUAGGGGCAGCACUCAGUAGAGUAAGACUUUACUAUCUUCACAAGGUUAAUAUCACCAGCAAGUCUUACCCGAGUAUAUUAAAUAAAUAAGAGGAAAAGAAAGGAUAUACCAGGUAAUUGGGAUGAGGAGAAGAGAAAAGGCACCCAAAGCAAAGAGAAACUUUGAAGAAAAUUGAAAAGGAUACUGCAGUAGGAGCCAACAAGAAUUUUAAGGCAAUCCAGUAAGAUCAAAAGUAAAAAGGAAAAUGUCACACACAGGAAAAUUUAGGAAUAAUAAGCAGUCAUCCCAAAGCCAUAAUCAACUUACAGCUCUUAACAUGAAUGAGGGGGGAAAAUAAUCCAUGGAAAUUUUUUUAAAUUGCAUCAAAAUUACAAUAGAUCCUCUUUGGUCCAUUUUUAGUGAAUCAGCUUACAGAUUUUGGUUUGUAAUUUGAAAGAUUCUUAUUUUUUCUCUCAAAACCUAAACACUAUUCUCUUUUCUCUUUCCCUGCUUCUUUAUACUCAAUAUUUCCCAUAGGACAGAACUAUGUGACCAUUUUCAUAGCUGACUCAACUACUUUUUAGAGAAAACUGAAAUACAUUAGUUAGAUUCAAGAAACCACGGCAGGCUUCUUUGUUGCCUCAGAAUUAAAAGGUUUUAGUUCAUGAACAAACGAUACUCUCCACAGUUAAAUGAAGUUUCUUCAAAUACAGCUAACACAUAAAAUGUGAAGAGAACAACAGAGCUUAUUCCUUUAAUGUGAACUAAGGCACAUAAAAGCACACAUGCCCUCCAGUUCUAGUCCUGGCUGCUCCAUUUCCCAUCAAGCUCCCUGCUAUGGCCUAGUAAAGCAGUAUAAGAUGGCCUAAGUCCUUGGGCCCCUGUACCCACGUGGGAGACCCAGAGGAAGUUCUUUCUUGUCUCCUGGCUUUGGGUCACCCUGCUCCAGCCACUGCAGCCAUCUGGGGAGUGAACCAGUGUAUGCUGGUUCAUGAGUAAAUGAGUCAAUGCUCAUUUAGCAUAAACUAUAAUUUGAAUUUUGUUCUUUCCUGAGCUAGCAAUAUGUCGUAUGACACACUCGCAUGGUGCAGGUUAACUACCAGGCACAGCUCAUCAGCCACAGAUUGCUAACAACCAGUACUGCAAUCCACAGUGUACUAUAAUCAAUAAACUAUAUGACACAUUCAAACUUUAUUGCAAAAUUGGUUUAGUAUUAGAUGAUUCUGCCCAGCUGUAGAGCAGUGUGAGCAUUCUAAGCACACCUAAGGUGGGCAAGGCUAAGCUAGGCUGUUCAGUGGGGUAAGUGUGUUAAAGGCACUUUCAACUAAGAGAUUUUCAACUUAAGAUGUAUUUACUGAUACACAGCCCCAUCCUAAGUUGAGUUUACUGUACACUUAAAAUUUUAUUAAGAGGGUUAAAUCUCAUGUAACUGUCUUCACUUUAAAAAAAAAAAAAAGACAUAGAAAGUUGAAAUAUACUGAAGUUGCAGAAGUUAUCCAUGUAAUUAGCUUUUGUAUUUUCUUAAAUUAUAAAAAUCUGUGAUUAUAGAAAAUAUGAGGGAAACCCAUUAUCACAUCAACAAAGGAUAAGCAAUAUUAUUAUUCUGGUAUAUUUCUUCCAAUCAUGUGACUGUGAUAAUAUAUUUUCUAAAAACUGGUAGCAUACUACAAUUUUAUCCAUUUUUUUAUUUACUUGAUCGCAUACAUUUCCGAUAUCAUGAUCCUUCAUAACAUGAAGAUCCAUCCAUGAAUAAGCUUUCUUACCGCUUGCUUAUUUCAGGGAUAUAGAAAAGUCUUGGUCAACAGCUCUGAUUAUUUCCUCAGGCAAUUAUUUUAAGAGUAUUGCUUAGUCAAAGUAAGAACAUUUUUUAAGGCUCUUGAAAAAAUUGCCAAGUUUCCCUCUGAGAGGGGUAUUUACCACUUAAUGGAUGACAGCCAUAGAGAGAAAAGCCUGGUGCUAUGUAUGGAAAGACUUACCAGGGAGUCUUCUGUAAGUCAGCAGGGACCAAAAACAAUGGUGCUUCUAGGGAAGAAAUCUUAUCUUCUGGUUGUGUAAGAAGUAUGACCAGUUGGUCAACAGCUCCAUCAAGUUCUACCAGAAGGAGUGCCUGUGAAAUGAAAUGCAGCUUUAAAAAUGCCCAAUGGAUGAGUCACAAGACAGAGGACUAGGGCCAUGUUCCACAAGCCCCACCUGCCUAACAAUUCACCCGCACGGAAGAAGCUAAAAAAAAAAAAAACAAAAAAACAAAGAAACGCUGCCAAAGCCUCUCUUGCUUUGCAAUAUAAAUCUCUGGGUACAAUAUUUUUAAAAUACCAUAUAAAGAACUGCCAAUGAUGGGUUUCAAAUUUUGACAAGAUAGGAAAACAAAGACCAGCAAACCAAAGAAGUGGAUGAGAACAUAUAUAUUCUACAUAUCGUUCUAUUUCAAAAGCUUCAGGGUCUAGUGAAAUCGGGUGUU